rnacentral:rRNA from 1 species
UACGAAGGGGGCUAGCGUUGUUCGGAAUUACUGGGCGUAAAGCGCACGUAGGCGGGUUGUUAAGUCAGGGGUGAAAUCCUGGAGCUCAACUCCAGAACUGCCUUUGAUACUGGCAACCUAGAGACUGGAAGAGGUUAGUGGAAUUCCCAGUGUAGAGGUGAAAUUCGUAGAUAUUCGCAAGAACACCAGUGGCGAAGGCGGCUCACUGGCCCGAUACUGACGCUGAGGUGCGAAAGCGUGGGGAGCAAACAGG